GAUGAAGAACGUAGCGAAAUGCGAUACGUAAUGUGAAUUGCAGAAUUCAGUGAAUCAUCGAAUCUUUGAACGCAUAUUGCGCUCUCUGGUAUUCCGGAGAGCAUGCUUGUUUGAGUAUCAGUAAACACCUCAACUUCCAUAUCUUUUUUGAAAUGGGAGUUGGACUUGAGUGAUCCCAACGCUUUUCCUCACCGAAAAGUGGCGGGUUACUUGAAAUGCAGGUGCAGCUGGACUUUUCUCUGAGCUAUAAGCAUAUCUAUUUAGUCUGCCUAAAAAACAGAUUAUUACCUUUGCUGCAGCUAACAUAAAGGAGAUUAGUUCUUGUGCUGACUGAUGCAGGAUUCACAAAGACAGGCUUCGGCCGACUUUGUAAACUCGAUCUCAAAUCAAGUAAGACUACCCGCUGAACUUAAGCAUAUCAAAAAGCGGAGGA
rnacentral:misc_RNA from 1 species